AUGCCACGGUGAAUACGUUCCCGGGCCUUGUACACACCGCCCGUCACACCAUGGGAGUUGGUCUUACCCGACGGCGCUGCGCCAACCGCAAGGAGGCAGGCGACCACGGUAGGGUCAGCGACUGGGGUGAAGUCGUAACAAGGUAGCCGUAGGGGAACCUGCGGCUGGAUCACCUCCUUUCUAAGGAUGC
rnacentral:rRNA from 1 species